AUUGAACGCUGGCGGCAGGCCUAACACAUGCAAGUCGAGCGGAUGAGAGGAGCUUGCUUCUCGAUUCAGCGGCGGACGGGUGAGUAAUGCCUAGGAAUCUGCCUGGUAGUGGGGGACAACGUUUCGAAAGGAACGCUAAUACCGCAUACGUCCUACGGGAGAAAGCAGGGGACCUUCGGGCCUUGCGCUAUCAGAUGAGCCUAGGUGGGAUUAGCUAGUUGGUGAGGUAAUGGCUCACCAAGGCGACGAUCCGUAACUGGUCUGAGAGGAUGAUCAGUCACACUGGAACUGAGACACGGUCCAGACUCCUACGGGAGGCAGCAGUGGGGAAUAUUGGACAAUGGGCGAAAGCCUGAUCCAGCCAUGCCGCGUGUGUGAAGAAGGUCUUCGGAUUGUAAAGCACUUUAAGUUGGGAGGAAGGGUUGUAGAUUAAUACUCUGCAAUUUUGACGCUACCGACAGAAUAAGCACCGGCUAACUCUGUGCCAGCCGCCGCAGUAACAC
rnacentral:rRNA from 1 species